AAAAAAAAAAAAAAAAAAAAAAAAAAAAAAAUAGAAAAAACAAGCAAUUAAAGGUAGAGCUUAUUAUAAACCUUGAAGCUUGAGAUUGUCAUAACACUUUAAAACAUGGAAUGGAAAUUAGAGAGAUAUUCCACUUUUAAAAUCAAAACGGCAGAAGCCAUGCUGUGGGAAAACAAUGUGCACACUUGCAGAAGAAUUCAACGGGGCUAAAAAACAGUAUGCAAAUAAGAUAAGGAAGGUAAGAAGCAGAAACUGAAGGUAAAGAAAGUUCCUCCAAGGCAGAGCUGACCCAAAAGACAUAUUUUACUACACGUGAAGGAAAUGCAACUGU